rnacentral:rRNA from 1 species
UACGAAGGGGGCUAGCGUUGCUCGGAAUCACUGGGCGUAAAGGGUGCGUAGGCGGGUCUUUAAGUCAGGGGUGAAAUCCUGGAGCUCAACUCCAGAACUGCCUUUGAUACUGAAGAUCUUGAGUUCGGGAGAGGUGAGUGGAACUGCGAGUGUAGAGGUGAAAAUUCGUAGAUAUUCGCAAGAACACCAGUGGCGAAGGCGGCUUACUGGUCCGGUUCUGACGCUGAGGCGCGAAAGCGUGGGGAGCAAAUAGG